GACGAACGCUGGCGGCGUGCUUAACACAUGCAAGUCGAACGGAAAGGCCCUGCUUUUGUGGGGUGCUCGAGUGGCGAACGGGUGAGUAACACGUUAGUAACCUGCCCUUGACUUUGGGAUAACUUCAGGAAACUGGGGCUAAUACCGGAUAGGAGCUCCUGCUGCAUGGUGGGGGUUGGAAAGUUUCGGCGGUUGGGGAUGGACUCGCGGCUUAUCAGCUUGUUGGUGGGGUAGUGGCUUACCAAGGCUUUGACGGGUAGCCGGCCUGAGAGGGUGACCGGCCACAUUGGGACUGAGAUACGGCCCAGACUCCUACGGGAGGCAGCAGUGGGGAAUAUUGCACAAUGGGCGGAAGCCUGAUGCAGCAACGCCGCGUGCGGGAUGACGGCCUUCGGGUUGUAAACCGCUUUCGCCUGUGACGAAGCGUGAGUGACGGUAAUGGGUAAAGAAGCACCGGCUAACUACGU
rnacentral:rRNA from 1 species